CUCAGCACAGAACUAUCGACAUAUUGCAGCUUAGCUUAGCUCGAGAGCAUCAUCCCUCUUAUCUUAGGAGUAGGGUAAUUUAGAUAACCGAACUUAUAACGGCAAGGCUUAUCCCUUAACGAUUCAGGUUCAAAGUCUAUGGCGGUAGAAGUAUUCCUCAACUACACAGACACGACUCCAUCAGCCCUUGUUUGGGAAGGUUGUCACCAUCCUGUGGCAUUUGCUUCCGAGCAUCUUAACGUGGUUACAAUUCUUCCAAAUUAUUGAACUUGGGCGAGCUUGAAUCAAGGUUUUUCAGAGCCUAAACCACCUCUUUCAAUGAAAAGCAAAGUAAUUAUGCCUAUACAUGCUGGACCUGCUCCAUUUGCGAGGCUACCGGAACUUCACCGAAGCAGCCACCACUUCGCCGAAACCUUCCUCAGAGGCUGACCACCACUAAUCUGAGUAUACUCUCGGCCGGUGCAGUUAAUUGUAUAUUUUAUGAACUUAUGUAUGAGAUAAAGAAGCAAACUAGAGACGUAUAUAGCCCUACAUAUAUGUAUUACAUAUAUAUUAUAUGAUCUGAACAGCAUGCACGAGUUUGAUCAAUUAUAUGGAUCGAUUUCCCGACAGGGGGAAAUUUUCCAAAGUUCUAGUCAAUUUUCACAAAUGCAGGAAAAGAAAUUAAUUGGGUCGAUUGGUCCACGAGCAUGCUUUUGACGGGAGAAUGCAUGGAUGGAUGGAUCGAUCCCCGUGUCAGACAGUCAAACCGGGAGAUGUUUUCCACACAAUUAUUGUACCAUCGAUCAAGUAGACAUAUCAAUCACUUGCUGACAACACACACAAGCAUCUUCUAGAAUUACGUUUAACAAAGCUUUGGAAAUUAGAUUAUUACCCCACAUAAAGAAAAAGAUAUGUUGUCAUCGAUCAUGUCACAAUCCUUCGUAACAAAUAAAUAAAGCUUCUUACCAAAAUACAAA